rnacentral:rRNA from 1 species
GUCCACGCCGUAAACGAUGGACGCUAGGUGUGGGCGGUGUCGACUCCGUCCGUGCAGAAGCUAACGCAUUAAGCGUCCCGCCUGGGGAGUACGGCCGCAAGGCUAAAACUCAAAGGAAUUGACGGGGACCCCGCACAAGCAGCGGAGCAUGUUGUUUAAUUCGAUGCGACGCGAAGAACCUUACCUGGGCUUGACAUGCGCCUGUAAUCUCGGGAAACCGAGCCCCUCUUCGGAGCGGGUGCACAGGUGGUGCAUGGCUGUCGU